UCCCUACGGGAGGCAGCAGUGAGGAAUAUUGGACAAUGGUCGAGAGACUGAUCCAGCCAUGCCGCGUGCAGGAAGACUGCCCUAUGGGUUGUAAACUGCUUUUGUACGGGAAGAAUAAUACCCACGUGUGGGGAGAUGACGGUACCGUACGAAUAAGGACCGGCUAACUCCGUGCCAGCAGCCGCGGUAAU
rnacentral:rRNA from 1 species